rnacentral:rRNA from 1 species
AUUGAACGCUAGCGGCAGGCUUUACACAUGCAAGUCGAACGAGUGGCGGACGGGUGAGUAAUGUAUGGGAAGUGCCCAGUAGAGGGGGAUAACUACUGGAAAGAGUGGCUAAUACCGCAUACUAUCGGCUGGCCCAUAUGGGAUUAGCUAGUAGGUGGGGUAAUGGCUCACCUAGGCGACGAUCCCUAGCUGGUCUGAGAGGAUGAUCAGCCACACUGGGACUGAGACACGGCCCAGACUCCUACGGAGGCAGCAGUGGGGAAUAUUGCACAAUGGGCGCAAGCCUGAUGCAGCCAUGCCGCGUGUAUGAAGAAGGCCUUAGGGUUGUAAAGUACUUUCAGUCGGGAGGCGUUACCGACAGAAGAAGCACCGGCUAACUCCGUGCCAGCAGCCGCGGUAAUAC